CGAUGAUGCAUAGCCGAGUUGAGAGACUGAUCGGCCACAUUGGGACUGAGACACGGCCCAAACUCCUGCGGGAGGCAGCAGUAGGGAAUCUUCCACAAUGGACGCAAGUCGUGAUGGAGCAACGCCGCGUGAGUGAAGAAGGGUUUCGGCUCGUAAAGCUCUGUUGUUGGUGAAGAAGGACAGGGGGUAGUUAACUGACCUUUAGUUUGACGGUAAUCAAUUAGAAAGUCACGGGCUAACUACGUGCCAGCAGCCGCGGUAAAU
rnacentral:rRNA from 1 species